rnacentral:rRNA from 1 species
UCCCUUAGUAACGGCGAGCGAAGUGGGAACGAGCCCAGGUCUGAAAUCUCCCGGUUGGCAUUUGUCGUGGCCGGGCGAAUUGUGGUCUGGAGAGGCGGAUUGUCCCGAUCCACUGCUUGCAAGCCCGAAGUUGACUUGGAACGGCACGCCACAGAGGGUGAGAGCCCCGUAGGGCCUAGAAAUUGCGAGCGGCGGGACGAGGGUCCGUACUCGUAGAGUCGGGUUGUUUGGGAAUGCAGCCCCAAGUGGGUGGUAGACUCCAUCCAAGGCUAAAUACGGACGCGAGACCGAUAGCUGACAAGUACCGUGAGGGAAAGGUGAAAAGCACUUUGAAGAGAGAGUUCAAUAGACCGUGAAACCGUUGGGAGGGAAGCUCAGGGUGUCGAGGUUGUCGUGCUUCGCUUUGAGUUCAGCUUGUGUGGCUUUUCGGUCCGCCGCAGGUGCACUCUUCGGGUGAGUUGGACCGUCAGUUGGGAAGACGCCGGGACCUGUUGUCAGCGGUGGAGGUACGCCUUGCUGUCUCCUCGGAGUCUCAAGGUGACGUAAGCCAACUGUGUGUUCGGUCGUCUUCCUGGUGCGUUGGAUGUCUUUUCGUCCUGAAUGGUGAGAUGCAGUCUCCCCUUGUGGGAGGGCGAGCCGGUCUCGCGGUUGUGUCGCUCGGUGGGAAUCGUGCUCCGUUCUCUCUCCGUUGCCUUGUGUGCGGGGUAGGGUGCGGCGCGACCUGCCGUGUCGGCGUCCCUCGGGGCUUGUGUUCCAGGUUCUGCGUCCGAGGUGACUGGCGAAGAGUCGUUACCCUGUGCCCCGUCUUGAAACACGGACCAAGGAGUGCAAGAGAUGCGCAAGUCGGAAGGGUUGUGUUGGGGUUGUUCCCUCGGGAACGGCCUCGCCUGGGAGACCCAUGUGUUUGGAACGGGCGAAGUGAGAGCAAUUCAUGGGUGCGAGAGCCUUGGGGAGACCCAUGGCGCAUCGCUGGCCGAGCCUAAUGGUCACGCUGUGGCCGGUUUCGAGUGCGAGCGUAUCUGUUGCGACCCGAAAGAUGGUGAACUAUGCCUGAGGAGGGUGAAGCCAGAGGAAACUCUGGUGGAGGCCCGUAGCGGUUCUGACGUGCAAAUCGAUCGUCGCACUUGGGUAUAGGGGCGAAAGACUAAUCGAACC